GCCCAUAUGAAGACACAGGAUGGAGAAAUUGGCUUUCUGCUGCCACAGGCCAGAGAAUGCCUGGGGCCACCAGAAGUUUGAAGAAGCAAAGAAGGAUUCUCCCCUACAGACUUCAGAAGGAGCACGGCCUGCUGAUAACUGUAGACCUCCAGCCUCCAGAACUGGUUCUGUUCUAUGUCAUUUCCUUUGAAGUCAGUGGGAACUCUGUGCAGGACGGCAACAUGAACACCGGCCUCUAUACAUGAAGGCCAUCAAGUGGUUAACAUAUAGACAGUAUUUAAAUCCUUGGGACUGGAUGAGAUUACCAAGGGAGGAAAUGUAGAUGAAGGAGAAGAGAAAGGAUGGAGUUCUGGAGCACUACAAAUUUAAGAGACUGGGGAGAAGAGGAGAAACCCAGAAAAUCUACCUUGGAGAUCACUGCGUAAUACUACACUGGGAGCAGUAUCAUUCUUUGAAAUAAUAAUUAUAAUGUAAUAUAAUAGUUAUAAACUAUUCCAGUGUGUGAACAUGCCCUUUAUUCAAGCAGUUCUCUACCAGUAGCUUCUUAACUGGUCUUCCUGCUCUCAGUUUAUCCUUACUCCAAUCCUUUGUAAAUACUGCUUAUGCUAACCUUGGAUUAAUCUUAGUUAUUUAUGCCUGCAUGAAAAAUGG
rnacentral:lncRNA from 1 species